rnacentral:rRNA from 1 species
CUUAACCGAGGAAGCGCAUCGGAAACUGGGAAACUUGAGUGCAGAAGAGGACAGUGGAACUCCAUGUGUAGCGGUGAAAUGCGUAGAUAUAUGGAAGAACACCAGUGGCGAAGGCGGCUGUCUGGUCUGUAACUGACGCUGAGGCUCGAAAGCAUGGGUAGCGAACAGGAUUAGAUACCCUGGUAGUCCAUGCCGUAAACGAUGAAUGCUAGGUGUUGGAGGGUUUCCGCCCUUCAGUGCCGCAGCUAACGCAUUAAGCAUUCCGCCUGGGGAGUACGACCGCAAGGUUGAAACUCAAAGGAAUUGACGGGGGCCCGCACAAGCGGUGGAGCAUGUGGUUUAAUUCGAAGCAACGCGAAGAACCUUACCAGGUCUUGACAUCUUUUGAUCACCUGAGAGAUCAGGUUUCCCCUUCGGGGGCAAAAUGACAGGUGGUGCAUGGUUGUCGUCAGCUCGUGUCGUGAGAUGUUGGGUUAAGUCCCGCAACGAGCGCAACCCUUAUGACUAGUUGCCAGCAUUUAGUUGGGCACUCUAGUAAGACUGCCGGUGACAAACCGGAGGAAGGUGGGGAUGACGUCAAAUCAUCAUGCCCCUUAUGACCUGGGCUACACACGUGCUACAAUGGAUGGUACAACGAGUUGCGAGACCGCGAGGUCAAGCUAAUCUCUUAAAGCCAUUCUCAGUUCGGACUGUAGGCUGCAACUCGCCUACACGAAGUCGGAAUCGCUAGUAAUCGCGGAUCAGCACGCCGCGGUGAAUACGUUCCCGGGCCUUGUACACACCGCCCGUCACACCAUGAGAGUUUGUAACACCCGAAGCCGGUGGCGUAA